rnacentral:rRNA from 1 species
GACGGGGGAUGCAAGAGUUCUCCGGAAUCACUGGGCGUAAAGCGUCUGUAGGUGGUGAUGCCAGUCACUGGUGCAAAACUCUGGCUCAACCGGAGGAAAGCCAGUGAAACUGCAUGACUAGAGUGUGGGAGAGGUAGAAGGAAUUCCCUGAGUAGCGGUGAAAUGCGUAGAUACAGGGAAGAACACCGGAGGCGAAAGCGUUCUACUGGAACACAACUGACACUGAGAGACGAAAGCUAGGGGAGCGAAUGGG